UCGGUUUCUAGGAGAGGAGAGUCAGGCUCUGGGGCCAUGGAGUGCUUGAUUUAAAAACUGUUGCUGCUCCAUAGGCUGCGGUGCCACGGGUCGUGGAGUGUGAGCCGAUGUCUGCAGCGAUUUUUGCUUAGCCGACAGCCGUUUAUAUGUGCCCUGUGGAGGUUCUGCGUCUGCUGCGGGGGUCAUCGUCAGGCUUGGUUCUGACGUUCUUGUCGGCACUGGGGUGCAUCCUCAGUGCUGGCGGGACUGGUGCCGAGGAGAGCUGCCUGCUGUGGGAAGUCGGAUCCCUGCUUCUGCGCCCCGUUUGAGCCAUGGCUGAGUGACCAGGGAAGAGAUGAGCACUGCCCUGAGUUCCAUCUUCAGCCAAGGACAGUUGAGAAGGAACUGGGGAGGGGAGUGCGGGACACACGCGCACAGACAGACCCUAAUGACGCUGCAAGACAGCAGCUGGGUGUAUGCGUCCCGAUCAGGCACUGCUACCGAAGAGCUCCGAUCAACAGUGCCAGGACGCACCGUCACCUGGAGUGGAGCACUCACUGGGACAGCACUUGAAGAAGAACUUUACAUAUAAUAGCGCCACACAUAUUUUACUGGGACACUAAUGAGCUGGAUCCUGAAACCAUUCAGAAGAGGCAAGCUGUGAGGCAAAGAACACCCCCACACCAGGACUCAAACUGUCACUUUCCUGCUGAGGAGUCAGAUACCUUCUCCAUUGGGCCACAUGGUCAGAUACUUUGACAU